rnacentral:rRNA from 1 species
AGGGCGUUCGGUGGAUGCCUUGGCGCUGAGAGGCGAUGAAGGACGUGGCACGCUGCGAAAAGCCGCGGGGAGAUGCGAGCGAUCGUUGAUCCGCGGAUAUCCGAAUGGGGAAACCCCUCCCUUUGGGAGAUCCCCGGCCGAAUCCAUAGGCCGGGGAGGCGAACCCAGGGAACUGAAACAUCUCAGUACCUGGAGGAAAAGACAUCAACGGAGAUUCCCCGAGUAGUGGCGAGCGAAAGGGGAGCAGGCCAGUGGCCUUUGCGAAAGAAGCCGAAGGAUCUGGAAAGGUCCGCCGCAGCGGGUGACAGCCCCGUAGGCGUAGGGCUUCGCACGGUCCUCGAGUAGGGCGGGGCACGUGAAACCCUGUCUGAACAUGGGGGGACCACCCUCCAAGCCUAAAUACUCCUCAGCGACCGAUAGUGCACAAGUACCGUGAGGGAAAGGUGAAAAGCACCCCGACAAGGGGAGUGAAAGAGACCUGAAACCGGACGCCUACAAGCAGUCGGAGCGGGCAAGCCCCGUGACGGCGUACCUUUUGUAUAAUGGGUCCGCGAGUUUCUGUCGGCGGCGAGCUUAAGCCGCGAGGCGAAGGCGCAGCGAAAGCGAGUGCGAAGAGCGCGUCCAGUCGCCGGCAGGAGACCCGAAACCGGGUGAUCUAGCCAUGGCCAGGCUGAAGGUGGGGUAACACCCACUGGAGGGCCGAACCCACGCCUGUUGAAAAAGUCGGGGAUGAGCUGUGGCUAGGGGUGAAAGGCCAAUCAAACCGGGAAAUAGCUGGUUCUCCGCGAAAUCUAUUGAGGUAGAUCGUCCGGCGAUCACCCCCGGAGGUAGAGCACCGGAAGGGCUAGGGGGGCCCAAAGCCCUACCAAACCCUACCGAACUCCGAAUGCCGGGGAGUGCAGCCAGGCAGACAGACGGCGGGUGCUAAGGUCCGUCGUCGAGAGGGAAACAGCCCAGACCGCCGGCUAAGGCCCCCAAAUGAUGGCUAAGUGGGAAAGCAUGUGGGACGGCCACAACAACCAGGAGGUUGGCUUAGAAGCAGCCAUCCUUUAAAGAAAGCGUAAUAGCUCACUGGUCUAUCAGCUGUCCUGCGGCGAAAAUGUAACGGGGCUCAAGCCAUCUGCCGAAGCCGCGGAUGCGCCAGCGAUGGCGCGUGGUAGCGGAGCGUUCCCUAGGCCGUCGAAGCGGCGCCCGCGAGGGGCCGUGGAGGCAUGGGAAGUGCGAAUGCGGACAUGAGUAGCGACAAGGAGGGCGAGAACCCCUCCCGCCGGAAGUCCAAGGGUUCCUGCGCAAGGCCAAUCCGCGCAGGGUGAGCCGGCCCCUAAGGCGAGGGCGACAGCCGUAGCCGAUGGAAACCAGGUCAAGAUUCCUGGGCCCGCCAGACGUGACGACCGUGAAGCCGUGUCAUCCCUUAUCGGAUUGGGGUGGCUGGUGGACCGGUCCAGGAAACAGCGCUGGCACUAUGGACCGUACCCGAAACCGACACAGGUGGACUGGUAGAGCAUACCAAGGCGCUUGAGAGAACGAUGCUGAAGGAACUAGGCAAAUUGCUCGCGUAACUUCGGGAUAAGCGAGACCCGUUCCCGGGCAACCGGGGGCGGGUGGCACAGACCAGGGGGUGGCGACUGUUUAGUAAAAACACAGGGCUCUGCGAAGCCGCGAGGCGACGUAUAGGGCCUGANGCNUUGAAUCGAAGCCCCGGUAAACGGCGGCCGUAACUAUAACGGUCCUAAGGUAGCGAAAUUCCUUGUCGGGUAAGUUCCGACCUGCACGAAUGGCGUAACGACUUCCCCNCUGUCUCCAGCAUCGGCUCAGCGAAAUUGAAUUCCCCGUGAAGAUGCGGGGUACCCGCGGUCAGACGGAAAGACCCUAUGAACCUUUACUGCAGCUUGGCAGUGGCGCCAGGAAGGGGCUGUGUAGGAUAGGUGGGAGGCUUUGAAGCCGGGGCGCCAGCUCCGGUGGAGCCACCCUUGAAAUACCACCCUGCCGCUUUCUGGCGUCUAACCGGGCCCCGUUAUCCGGGGCCGGAACCCUGCCUGGUGGGCAGUUUGACUGGGGCGGUCGCCUCCCAAAGUGUAACGGAGGCGCGCGAUGGUGGGCUCAGGCCGGUCGGACAUCGGCUGUCGAGUGCAAAGGCACAAGCCCGCCUGACUGCGAGCGCGACAGCGCGAGCAGAGAGGAAACUCGGCCUUAGUGAUCCGGUGGCCCCGCGUGGAAGGGCCAUCGCUCAACGGAUAAAAGGUACUCUAGGGAUAACAGGCUGAUCUCCCCCAAGAGUCCACAUCGACGGGGAGGUUUGGCACCUCGAUGUCGGCUCAUCGCAUCCCGGGGCUGGAGCAGGUCCCAAGGGUUCGGCUGUUCGCCGAUUAAAGCGGUACGUGAGCUGGGUUUAGAACGUCGUGAGACAGUUCGGUCCCUAUCUGCCGUGGGUGCAGGAGACUUGAGAGGCGCCGUCCCCAGUACGAGAGGACCGGGACGGACGCGCCUCUGGUGCACCGGUUGUCGCGCCAGCGGCACCGCCGGGUAGCCAAGCGCGGACGGGAUAACCGCUGAAGGCAUCUAAGCGGGAAACCCCCCUCGAAACGAGGUCU